rnacentral:pre_miRNA from 1 species
AAUGAAAUUGCUGGGUCAUAUGGUAAGCUCAUCUUUAAUUUAUAAAGGAACUACAAACUGUUUUCCAGAGUGGCUAUACCAUUAUAUAUUCCCACCAGCAAU